CUAUACAUGCAGUCGAGCGCAGGAAGCCGUCUGAACCCUUCGGGGGGACGACGGUGGAAUGAGCGGCGGACGGGUGAGUAACACGUAAAGAACCUGCCCAUAGGUCUGGGAUAACCACGAGAAAUCGGGGCUAAUACCGGAUGUGUCAUCGGACCGCAUGGUCCGCUGAUGAAAGGCGCUUCGGCGUCGCCCAUGGAUGGCUUUGCGGUGCAUUAGCUAGUUGGUGAGGUAACGGCCCACCAAGGCGACGAUGCAUAGCCGACCUGAGAGGGUGAUCGGCCACACUGGGACUGAGACACGGCCCAGACUCCUACGGGAGGCAGCAGUAGGGAAUCUUCCACAAUGGACGAAAGUCUGAUGGAGCAACGCCGCGUGAACGAUGAAGGCUUUCGGGUCGUAAAGUUCUGUUGUAAGGGAAGAACAAGUGCCGCAGGCAAUGGCGGCACCUUGACGGUACCUUGCGAGAAAGCCACGGCUAACUACGUGCCAGCAGCCGCGGUAAUACGUAGGUGGCAAGCGUUGUCCGGAAUUAUUGGGCGUAAAGCGCGCGCAGGCGGCCUCUUAAGUCUGAUGUGAAAGCCCCCGGCUCAACCGGGGAGGGCCAUUGGAAACUGGGAGGCUUGAGUAUAGGAGAGAAGAGUGGAAUUCCACGUGUAGCGGUGAAAUGCGUAGAGAUGUGGAGGAACACCAGUGGCGAAGGCGACUCUUUGGCCUAUAACUGACGCUGAGGCGCGAAAGCGUGGGGAGCAAACAGGAUUAGAUACCCUG
rnacentral:rRNA from 1 species